GGAUGUAGCUCAGUUGGUACAGUGCUUGUCUUGCACCCACAAGUCCCUGGGUUUGAUCCCUGGCACCA
rnacentral:tRNA from 1 species